AAACAGCAAGAGCGCCCAGCAGGAAAGGGGCUGUCAGAACAUGAGUUCCCCCAAGCAGACAGCGGCCGGUGCUGUUGUAAGCCAGGCGUCCCACACUCCUGCUGGCCCUUCUGUGUAACUCUGAAACUGAACAUCCAGGGCUGCUCUGUCAGAGACUCAUCCCACGCUGAAGACACUGCUCCUUUGUGCACAAACGACCCGGGCGCUAGCAGCCAUGUUGCAAGAUGCUCUAUGAAGAAGCCCAUGCAGCAAGAGACCAAAGGAAGACUCUGGCCAAGAACUCAUGAGGACCUGAAGCUUCAGUCUAUAGUGUUCUAGGAAAUGAUCCUGCCAACAAACAUGCAGAUAAGCUUGGAAGGAAAUCCUUGCCAGGGCUAAAGAUCAAAAGAAUAUUCAUUCAUAUGACAAAGAUUUGCUGAAAGAGUCCUAUGUGCAGGGCAUUCAACAAGGUAUUAGAGGAAGAUAAAAAGCUGAAGAAGUCAGGACACUUGC